GAAGCUGGAAUCGCUAGUAAUCGCGGAUCAGAAUGCCGCGGUGAAUACGUUCCCGGGUCUUGUACACACCGCCCGUCACACCAUGGGAGUCAGUAACGCCCGAAGUCAGUGACCCAACCUUAGGGAGGGAGCUGCCGAAGGCGGGACGGAUGACUGGGGUGAAGUCGUAACAAGGUAGCCGUAUCGGAAGGUGCGGCUGGAUCACCUCCUUUCUAGGGAA
rnacentral:rRNA from 1 species